rnacentral:rRNA from 1 species
GGAGGAAAAGAAACCAACCGGGAUUGCCUUAGUAACGGCGAGUGAAGCGGCAAAAGCUCAAAUUUGAAAUCUGGUACCUUCGGUGCCCGAGUUGUAAUUUGGAGAGGGCAACUUUGGGGCCGUUCCUUGUCUAUGUUCCUUGGAACAGGACGUCAUAGAGGGUGAGAAUCCCGUGUGGCGAGGAGUGCGGUUCUUUGUAAAGUGCCUUCGAAGAGUCGAGUUGUUUGGGAAUGCAGCUCUAAGUGGGUGGUAAAUUCCAUCUAAAGCUAAAUAUUGGCGAGAGACCGAUAGCGAACAAGUACAGUGAUGGAAAGAUGAAAAGAACUUUGAAAAGAGAGUGAAAAAGUACGUGAAAUUGUUGAAAGGGAAGGGCAUUUGAUCAGACAUGGUGUUUUGUGCCCUCUGCUCCUUGUGGGUAGGGGAAUCUCGCAUUUCACUGGGCCAGCAUCAGUUUUGGUGGCAGGAUAAAUCCAUAGGAAUGUAGCUUGCCUCGGUAAGUAUUAUAGCCUGUGGGAAUACUGCCAGCUGGGACUGAGGACUGCGACGUAAGUCAAG